GUGGGGAAUCUUCCGCAAUGGACGAAAGUCUGACGGAGCAACGCCGCGUGAGUGAUGAAGGUUUUCGGACUGUAAAGCUCUGUUGUUUAGGACGAAAGUGCCUGUUGCAAAUAGUUACAGGUAUUGACGGUACUGAACGAGGAAGCCACGGCUAACUACGUGCCAGCAGCCGCGGUAAUACGUAGGUGGCAAGCGUUGUCCGGAAUUAUUGGGCGUAAAGAGCAUGUAGGCGGGAAUCUAAGUCUGUUGUGAAAAUGCGGGGCUCAACCCCGUAUUGCGAUGGAAACUGGGUUUCUUGAGUGCAGGAGAGGAAAGGGGAAUUCCCAGUGUAGCGGUGAAAUGCGUAGAUAUUGGGAGGAACACCAGUGGCGAAGGCGCCUUUCUGGACUGUGUCUGACGCUGAGAUGCGAAAGCCAGGGUAGCGAACGGGAUUAGAAACCCGUGUAGUCC
rnacentral:rRNA from 1 species